GUCGAACAAGCAUUCUGUUUCCAUCAACACCUUCUGCAAGGUAUGUUGUUUGUAGUCUUAAAUUCUUUUUCUUAAAAUAUGUAUUUCCUUUUUUAACUUUAUUAUAUUAUAUAUAACUAAAAUAUUUAUUGCAUAUAACUAAAAUGUAUCAGGGAGACAUUGGCAAUAAGUAAGCACCAUUGAAAAUGUGUGAAUACUGUAUAUUAAGAUUGGUACCUCAUUGUAAAGGUUUGUAUAAUUGGUUAAUACUGCCACAGUUUGUCGUUUUUAGAUUAUAUGGGGGAAUGUUUUUUCCUGGCAACAUCUGGCUGCUUAUCCUUUGAUUUCCAUGGUUGGGAAGCUGUAGGCUGGAUCUCACCAAUGAUUUAUAUGAACAUAUAACGUUGUUAUGAUUAUAUAUUUUAGUGAUCUUCUUUCUGCUGGUUUACUGGUGGAGCUAAUCUGUUACUGAAUCAAAAGAGGAAAGACUAAUUGUCCUGCUGUUUCAUACUGGAAGAACACGGAGGUGCAAAGGAACAGCUGAUCUGCUUAUGACUUGCAGAGUUAUUCACUAAAGUGAGAAUUCAAAGGGAAUUUAUUUUUUAUUUUUUUGUUUUCAGUUCAGCAACUUUGAC